rnacentral:rRNA from 1 species
UACGUAGGGUGCGAGCGUUGUCCGGAAUUAUUGGGCGUAAAGAGCUUGUAGGCGGUUUGUCGCGUCUGCCGUGAAAAUUCGAGGCUCAACCUCGAACUUGCGGUGGGUACGGGCAGACUAGAGUGUGGUAGGGGAGACUGGAAUUCCUGGUGUAGCGGUGAAAUGCGCAGAUAUCAGGAGGAACACCAAUGGCGAAGGCAGCUCACUGGGACGGUAUUGACGCUGAGACGCGAAAGCGUGGGGAGCAAACAGG